rnacentral:rRNA from 1 species
CAUGCAGUCGAGCGGACAGAAGGGAGCUUGCUCCCGGAUGUUAGCGGCGGACGGGUGAGUAACACGUGGGUAACCUGCCUGUAAGACUGGGAUAACUCCGGGAAACCGGAGCUAAUACCGGAUAGUUCCUUGAACCGCAUGGUUCAAGGAUGAAAGACGGUUUCGGCUGUCACUUACAGAUGGACCCGCGGCGCAUUAGCUAGUUGGUGGGGUAAUGGCUCACCAAGGCGACGAUGCGUAGCCGACCUGAGAGGGUGAUCGGCCACACUGGGACUGAGACACGGCCCAGACUCCUACGGGAGGCAGCAGUAGGGAAUCUUCCGCAAUGGACGAAAGUCUGACGGAGCAACGCCGCGUGAGUGAUGAAGGUUUUCGGAUCGUAAAGCUCUGUUGUUAGGGAAGAACAAGUGCGAGAGUAACUGCUCGCACCUUGACGGUACCUAACCAGAAAGCCACGGCUAACUACGUGCCAGCAGCCGCGGUAAUACGUAGGUGGCAAGCGUUGUCCGGAAUUAUUGGGCGUAAAGGGCUCGCAGGCGGUUUCUUAAGUCUGAUGUGAAAGCCCCCGGCUCAACCGGGGAGGGUCAUUGGAAACUGGGAAACUUGAGUGCAGAAGAGGAGAGUGGAAUUCCACGUGUAGCGGUGAAAUGCGUAGAGAUGUGGAGGAACACCAGUGGCGAAGGCGACUCUCUGGUCUGUAACUGACGCUGAGGAGCGAAAGCGUGGGGAGCGAACAGGAUUAGAUACCCUGGUAGUCCACGCCGUAAACGAUGAGUGCUAAGUGUUAGGGGGUUUCCGCCCCUUAGUGCUGCAGCUAACGCAUUAAGCACUCCGCCUGGGGAGUACGGUCGCAAGACUGAAACUCAAAGGAAUUGACGGGGGCCCGCACAAGCGGUGGAGCAUGUGGUUUAAUUCGAAGCAACGCGAAGAACCUUACCAGGUCUUGACAUCCUCUGACAACCCUAGAGAUAGGGCUUUCCCUUCGGGGACAGAGUGACAGGUGGUGCAUGGUUGUCGUCAGCUCGUGUCGUGAGAUGUUGGGUUAAGUCCCGCAACGAGCGCAACCCUUGAUCUUAGUUGCCAGCAUUCAGUUGGG